CAACAAACAUAAAUAGUAACGUUACAAAUGGUCAAUAAAAGGCUAAGAAAUCAGGUCACACAGACUAGCAUUUACCUGCACCGUUCUUUGUUUCAUGGACACUCAAAAAUUACACUAAUGCCAUGUUUUAUAAAUGGUAUGGCUUACCUUUCAUAUGACCGGUCUGUUUGAGUGCCCACGAAAUGGUUGGCAGGUGCAGGUGUUCUGCUGGUGUCUGUGGUAUUCUGAUCCCGGACGAAGAGCCCCCAACUGUGGAAGUAGACAAAAAUAUUACCAGGUUCAAUAAAAAGCGUUUAAUUGACCAUUACAAUACACAGAGAUAUCUCAUGGAGAUUGGCAAGAAGCAAUCUAACAUCAUGUUACAAUUCCUCAUAUUUUAUACAUAUGACCCGGAACUGGCCUUUCGUUUAGCUUGAAUCAGAACUCCAAAUAUGGUCUUAUUUCCUAUUGGCUAAAUUCUAGCAUAACUGACAAAUUUAAGGUUCAAAAGUUUAAGCAUCCCAUGAUCUUUCUAACAGAUAACUUGACCCCAGUCAUGCAUCUUACUUCCCUAAAAUAUCGUUUGUCUAUGAUAAAAGUUAACACAUAUAAGCCUGACUUCCUCUUUCACAACUUAAGCACACAUUUCACCUUUCCCCCCCCUGGCAACAUCUGACAAGACACGCUUUCAAAAUAACCUUUCCUUUUGCAAUCCAAAAAACAGUCCAGACAUCCAUUUAUAAAUUGUAGCAAUAAAACAUAGUUUCUUCUUAUUUCUUAGAGUAAAUUUUCUUCUUUGAUUAUAUUUUAAGAUGAUGAAUAAACAGCAAAAUGGCUGACAGCAUGUCAGUAGCAGGUUUCAUAUGUUCACA
rnacentral:lncRNA from 1 species